GUUAGUGUAAUUUAUUA
rnacentral:tRNA from 1 species